rnacentral:rRNA from 1 species
UAGCGAGGAAAGAAACUAACUAGGAUUCCCCUAGUAGCUGCGAGCGAACAGGGAAAAGCCCAGCACCGAAUCUUGCGAUCGAUACCGGUCGCCAAGAAAUGUGGUGUUAGGGAGGGUCCAUUAUCUCGCGAUAAUACGACGCGUCCAAGUCCUUCUUGAACGGGGCCACAACCCAUAGAGGGUGCUAGGCCCGUAGCGACCGUCGUUUGUUGCGAGAGGAUCUCUCCUCAGAGUCGGGUUGCUUGAGAGUGCAGCCCUAAGUGGGUGGUAAACUCCAUCUAAGGCUAAAUAUGACCACGAGACCGAUAGCGAACAAGUACCGUGAGGGAAAGUUGAAAAGCACUUUGAAGAGAGAGUUCAAGAGUACGUGAAACCGUUUAGGGGUAAACCUGAGAAAUCCGAAAGGUCGAAAGGAGAAAUUCAUUCGAGUUUCGGCCGGUAGCGUAAGACGUUAGAGUGACUGCUCGUCUUCGGGCGAGACGCGCCUUUCGUUUGUCGAUCUGCCGUCGAACUCGUGCACUUUUCUCCUAGUAGGACGUCGUGAUCCGUUGGGCGUCGGUCUAAGGUACGCGGUGGAGCUUUCGAGUGCGGCUUGCCGUUCAUUCGGAAACCCGCGAUAUCGGACCGACACGCUCGACGGUAUUGAUAAGGCGCUAGGCCGCUAUUUUUAGCGUCCGACCCGUGGCAAGCGCGGUGGGUGUGUCGUCAGCCGGAUCUGAUGCCGGCCUCGGCCCCCGUCGACUGUUGGCUGCGGCGUUCUCGGGCAGACUUAACGCCGAUCUACGACGCUUUAGCUUUGGAUACUUUCAGAC